UCUAUUAACGUGGAUUUGGACCACAAUAGGUUUUUAGUUUGUGAUGUUUCAUGUGAUGAUCAUUUUCAUGUUCAUCGUCUUUGAAUUGACAUGAGGAUAUCUAUGGAAAAGUAACUAAUCUGAAAGUAAGCCAACAUAUCGUUUGUCCUUUGUGUGCUAAAGAAAAGAUUUUCUUUUCGCAUCAUGAGGAAGUAUUACAUCAAUUAAAAAAUGUUAGGAAGUUGAUUACUUGUCAUGGAAAAGUAUACCAAUGGAAAUUAUUUGUUAAAGAAGUAUAAUUCUAAGGGUUUUAAGAAUAAAUUGGUUGAACCCAAAAUCUGGAGGAAGUACCUAUAUCCAUACACAGAAUAUGCCCAUUAAAAAUACUAGUCCAAAUUUGCUUUAAUGGUAGACAAUUAUUCAAUACAAAUUAACUUUUUAAGUGACUGAAAUAUUAAAUAGUUUAGAAUAUGGUAUAACAAUGUAAAAAAAUAUUAUUUUCAGGAACGAUUAGGGCCCGAUAUAUUUGAAACUCAUGUUGGACAUAGUAUUGAGUUGGGUAGAAUAUUAUUCUACGUUAAGUGAGGGUAUCAGAUACCUAUUAUUGUACUGUAUUUUAAUAUAUACAUUAGAAUUGUUGGUUUUUU